rnacentral:misc_RNA from 1 species
CUUAUCCCUUGUAAGGCAUGACAUGUUUCCGUAGCAUAUCUAAUGAAUUACAGAACUACACCUACCGAUAACCUAUUAAAUAUACUAUAAAUGAUUUUAAACUAAACAUAACAUUUUAUUUAAUCUUUAUUUUACGGAAAACUACAUUAUGGCGGUUAAAACUUUAGAAAAACCCAAAAUUUAUAACCUGUUGAAAUCAUAAAAUAAAUCAAAUAAAAGAUUUCAUUCAAUCUGUUUCACAAGCAUAAUAAAUUUAAUUAUAUUUCAAGUAGACAUUCAUUAGAUGAAGUAAACUUAAUAUUACAAAAGUCAAAAUAAAGUACAAAUAUUUACAAACUCAAAAUGCUUUAGCAAUGUAAUGCUUUUUAAUACAAGCUGCUCAAUAUUCGUACAUCCAUACAUAUAGAUACAAAUUACAUCAAAAGGAAAUUACAGGGGUAUACCUACUAUAUAUACCCACAGUCAAUACAAAAUGCUGCUUCCAAGUCUCUUACUUAGCAGCCUUCUCCUUUCCCUUACCUGCGACAGCAUAAAUAAGCUAUCACUGAGUAUAUCACUCAGUGGUGCACAACUAAGAAUUUCAAAACUUAAAAUAACGCACAACUUGUCAAAACAUAAUAAAUUAUAUUUUCCAUAAGCAUGAAAAUAUCACAAUAGUUCUAAGUCCAUAGAAACUAUUUAUUAAAAUCACCUUUCAAAUGAGAAAUCAUACUUCACAAAUCACAAUUCACAAAGCAUAAGUGUUGCCAACAUUAACACACAGGUUAGACUAUGACACAAAAUUUCACAAUCAAUGUCGUGUUGUACACCACGACAAGACACACUCACCCCAAUAAUCAAAAUCAAUGAGGGAGGAAGCUAGC